rnacentral:rRNA from 1 species
GAGCGGACAGAUGGGAGCUUGCUCCCUGAUGUUAGCGGCGGACGGGUGAGUAACACGUGGGUAACCUGCCUGUAAGACUGGGAUAACUCCGGGAAACCGGGGCUAAUACCGGAUGCUUGUUUGAACCGCAUGGUUCAGACAUAAAAGGUGGCUUCGGCUACCACUUACAGAUGGACCCGCGGCGCAUUAGCUAGUUGGUGAGGUAACGGCUCACCAAGGCGACGAUGCGUAGCCGACCUGAGAGGGUGAUCGGCCACACUGGGACUGAGACACGGCCCAGACUCCUACGGGAGGCAGCAGUAGGGAAUCUUCCGCAAUGGACGAAAGUCUGACGGAGCAACGCCGCGUGAGUGAUGAAGGUUUUCGGAUCGUAAAGCUCUGUUGUUAGGGAAGAACAAGUGCCGUUCAAAUAGGGCGGCACCUUGACGGUACCUAACCAGAAAGCCACGGCUAACUACGUGCCAGCAGCCGCGGUAAUACGUAGGUGGCAAGCGUUGUCCGGAAUUAUUGGGCGUAAAGGGCUCGCAGGCGGUUUCUUAAGUCUGAUGUGAAAGCCCCCGGCUCAACCGGGGAGGGUCAUUGGAAACUGGGGAACUUGAGUGCAGAAGAGGAGAGUGGAAUUCCACGUGUAGCGGUGAAAUGCGUAGAGAUGUGGAGGAACACCAGUGGCGAAGGCGACUCUCUGGUCUGUAACUGACGCUGAGGAGCGAAAGCGUGGGGAGCGAACAGGAUUAGAUACC